rnacentral:rRNA from 1 species
CAGUAGCCACGGUAAUACAGAGGAUGCAAGCGUUAUCUGGAAUGAUUGGGCGUAAAGCGUCUGUAGGUGGCUUUUCAAGUCCGCCGUCAAAUCCCAGGGCUCAACCCUGGACAGGCGGUGGAAACUACCAAGCUGGAGUACGGUAGGGGCAGAGGGAAUUCACGGUGUAGCAGUGAAAUGCGUAGAUAUCGUGAGGAAGACCAGUGGCGAAGGCGGAUCUCUGGACAGUUCCUGACGCUGAUGCACGAAGGCCAGGGGAGCAAACGGGAUUAGAUACCCCUGUAGUCCCUGUCUCUUAUAC